AGUGAACGCUGGCGGUAGGCCUAACACAUGCAAGUCGAACGGCAGCACAGUAAGAGCUUGCUCUUACGGGUGGCGAGUGGCGGACGGGUGAGGAAUACAUCGGAAUCUACUUUUUCGUGGGGGAUAACGUAGGGAAACUUACGCUAUACCGCAUACGACCUACGGGUGAAAGCAGGGGAUCUUCGGACCUUGCGCGAUUGAAUGAGCCGAUGUCGGAUUAGCUAGUUGGCGGGGUAAAGGCCCACCAAGGCGACGAUCCGUAGCUGGUCUGAGAGGAUGAUCAGCCACACUGGAACUGAGACACGGUCCAGACUCCUACGGGAGGCAGCAGUGGGGAAUAUUGGACAAUGGGCGCAAGCCUGAUCCAGCCAUACCGCGUGGGUGAAGAAGGCCUUCGGGUUGUAAAGCCCUUUUGUUGGGAAAGAAAAGCAGCAGGUUAAUACCCCGCUGUUCUGACGGUACCCAAAGGAUAAGCACCGGCUAACUUCGUG
rnacentral:rRNA from 1 species